UACGUAGGGUGCAAGCGUUAAUCGGAAUUACUGGGCGUAAAGCGUGCGCAGGCGGUUUUGUAAGUCUGUCGUGAAAUCCCCGGGCUCAACCUGGGAAUGGCGAUGGAGACUGCAAGGCUAGAAUCUGGCAGAGGGGGGUAGAAUUCCCGGUGUAGCAGUGAAAUGCGUAGAUAUCGGGAGGAACACCAGUGGCGAAGGCGGCCUUCUGGACCAGUACUGACGCUCAUGCACGAAAGCGUGGGGAGCAAACAGG
rnacentral:rRNA from 1 species